rnacentral:rRNA from 1 species
AACGAACGCCGGCGGCAUGCCUAACACAUGCAAGUCGAACGAGAUCUUCGGGUCUAGUGGCGCACGGGUGCGUAACGCGUGGGAAUCUGCCCUUUGGUUCGGAAUAACAGUUGGGAACGACUGCUAAUACCGGAUGAUGACGAAAGUCCAAAGAUUUAUCGCCAGAGGAUGAGCCCGCGUAGGAUUAGCUAGUUGGUGUGGUAAAGGCGCACCAAGGCGACGAUCCUUAGCUGGUCUGAGAGGAUGAUCAGCCACACUGGGACUGAGACACGGCCCAGACUCCUACGGGAGGCAGCAGUGGGGAAUAUUGGACAAUGGGCGAAAGCCUGAUCCAGCAAUGCCGCGUGAGUGAUGAAGGCCUUAGGGUUGCAAAGCUCUUUUACCCGGGAUGAUAAUGACAGUACCGGGAGAAUAAGCUCCGGCUAACUCCGUGCCAGCCGCCGCCGUAA